AACAACAUGCAGUCCAAAGUGUUUGAUGGGACGGUGAACGUGUGUCGUCCUGAUGAUCCAGAGCAGAUCAGGACCAGAUCCAGAUCCAGACUGGGACCAUUUAAACAUCUGUUUAUUGGAUCGCAGCUAUUUCCUGUUGGACAAGCCCUGUGAAGCUCGGCCAGAUCCACCAGCAUGAAUCAUCCCAGGAUGGGUUCUCCUCCACCUUCCUGCAGUGACUGUCGCACGCUGCCUCUGUCAAAGAGGGAUUCGAGCGAGGGUUAAAAUUCCAGAAAUGAUGAGGAGAUCAGGGAACGCAGAGCACACGUCCACAGGGCCUUUAGGUACGUAGGAAAUGAUGGGAGGAGAAGGGAGAGAGGGUGAAAAAAAUCAAAAGGACAGAUCAAAGCAGCUGGAAAUUCUGUUCCAGGAGGGAAAAGGUUCCUGUGGAUUUUUGUUGCCUCUCGUUCAGCUGUGAGCUACAGCUACAUGUUAGCGUAAAUGAAGACACUCAUCGUCCUUGUCAAACUUCCACCUUGUCCUGUCAAACUGUUCUCUGUCCUUAAGUUCAAAGCUACAAAGGUCUUUAUUUUUUGUCUUUAUUUUUUUCCACCAAUUUAGUUAUUCAUUGCUUUAGCUUGGCCAUAGCCUAGCAUCAGCUAUAGCACAUACGUGAUAUCCUCCUCCACGUGAGCCGUCCCCAUCCCGCCUCUUUGUUUCAAAACUUUCCUCAGUUGAGGAAAAAACUUCCGUGUCAAAACUAAAACAAAGCUCAACUUUUAUUCCCACAUUUGUGAUCACACGGCCACCAGGAUCCGCAGCGAUGGAUGUCUGUUUUUGGAGGAACGCUGCACAAAUGUUGGGACGGGAUGAGGAGAUAAGGAAACAGACGGGAGGUUUUUACAGGCGGCCCAGAAACUGUAAACGGAAGCCAAGCUAAAGCAGGGAUUGUGGGCGGGGCCAGCUGAAGGAGAAACGUGGGCCUCGCUCAAAUCCAAGAAAGGACCCAACAAUUAAAAGAAAAAAGCAGUGCAGAGAGGCUCAUUUCCCUCCUCCGCUAAUGAAGAAAACGUGGGGUUGCUGAGGACAAAUCUCACUCAGGGCAAUAAAAAAGUGCACCUUAUGAAACAUAUGGACACUUGGCACAUUUUCUGGCACCGGCUCACGAGUUCCACUCCCAAAGUCAGAUCCCGCGGUCUUUGAAGCGCCGCCGCGGCACAUGGAAGCGCUAAACUUUUUGUCACCUUUAAUUGACUUCACAUUGCAUCGCUCGAACUUUGAGCAGUCGUGGUAAAUACGGAUCGACCCUUGGGGGGUGGGGGGGUGAGGG
rnacentral:lncRNA from 1 species